ensembl:miRNA gmo-mir-192 gmo-mir-192
AUGACCUAUGAAUUGACAGCCAGUCGUCCUCAAGUUGCCUGUCAGUUUUAUAGGCCA